rnacentral:rRNA from 1 species
GUCCACGCUGUAAACGAUGAGUGCUAAGUGUUAGAGGGUUUCCGCCCUUUAGUGCUGAAGUUAACGCAUUAAGCACUCCGCCUGGGGAGUACGGUCGCAAGACUGAAACUCAAAGGAAUUGACGGGGCCCGCACAAGUGGUGGAGCAUGUGGUUUAAUUCGAAGCAACGCGAAGAACCUUACCAGGUCUUGACAUCCUCUGAUAACCCUAGAGAUAGGGCGUUCCCUUCGGGGACAGAGUGACAGGUGGUGCAUGGUUGUCGU